rnacentral:rRNA from 1 species
CAGUCGCCGCGGGAAAACGUAGGUGGCAAGCGUUGUCUGGAAUUAUUGGGCGUAAAGGGCUCGCAGGCGGUUUCUUAAGUCUGAUGUGAAAGCCCCCGGCUCAACCGGGGAGGGUCAUUGGAACCUGGGAAACUUGAGUGCAGAAGAGGAGAGUGGAAUUCCACGUGUAGCGGUGAAAUGCGUAGAGAUGUGGAGGAACACCAGUGGCGAAGGCGACUCUCUGGUCUGUAACUGACGCUGAGGAGCGAAAGCGUGGGGAGCGAACAGGAUUAGAUACCCGCGUAGUCCCUGUCUCUUAUAC